CGCUGGCGGCGUGCCUAUACAUGCAAGUCGAACGAACUCUGGUAUUGAUUGGUGCUUGCAUCAUGAUUUACAUUUGAGUGAGUGGCGAACUGGUGAGUAACACGUGGGAAACCUGCCCAGAAGCGGGGGAUAACACCUGGAAACAGAUGCUAAUACCGCAUAACAACUUGGACCGCAUGGUCCGAGYUUGAAAGAUGGCUUCGGCUAUCACUUUUGGAUGGUCCCGCGGCGUAUUAGCUAGAUGGUGGGGUAACGGCUCACCAUGGCAAUGAUACGUAGCCGACCUGAGAGGGUAAUCGGCCACAUUGGGACUGAGACACGGCCCAAACUCCUACGGGAGGCAGCAGUAGGGAAUCUUCCACAAUGGACRAAAGUCUGAUGGAGCAACGCCGCGUGAGUGAAGAAGGGUUUCGGCUCGUAAAACUCUGUUGUUAAAGAAGAACAUAUCUGAGAGUAACUGUUCAGGUAUUGACGGUAUUUAACCAGAAAGCCACGGCUAACUACGUGCCAGCAGCCGCGGUAAUACG
rnacentral:rRNA from 2 species